UCCGCGAUCGGCCCCCUCGCGUCGACCCUGGCGCGCUGAAGCGUCCGGCACAAGGGGGCCCGUGAGCCGCGUACUCCACCGCGCUGCCUAGCAACGCGAGUGGAGGAAACGGCCACGUUACAAAACGAAAUUGCUCCAUGUUGAAAAGAUUUCGGCGAUACAGUAAUAGUGUAAGAAACGAGAAAAACAGUAAGACUGCAAGUGUAAAUUAUGUCUGCUGUCACACACGAUCCCACACGACAUAAUCUUGGGACAAGAGUUUUUGGAAGGUGCCGAGAUGCAAGUGAACGAAGGUAACAUAGUCGCAAUCCAUAGGGCCCCGAGAACCGCAGAGGAGACACCGCUCACGAUUUCCAGAGAGGAAAGAUAGGCAGACGGAAGCGGAGAACACCCAGGAAACGGUGGACGCAGCGUUUGAAGAAUUAAAAAACAAUGUGUUAGAAAAUUCCCAAUGACCCACCUCAAUAAAGCAGGGACGACGCGACGGGCACAUGGCCGUCCUACGACGACCACCACGGGGUAGAGGCCUGACGCUGUGUCGUCCGGGCCAUAAAACAAUCCUGGGGCCUCAAGUUUCACGGGGACUAGGAAACCUCGCGUAACGGGAAGAGGGCAUUUGUCUACGGACCUUGGAAAGGCAUCCUUCUCUUGAGGACAUUACUUCGCCCACGGAAUCAGCAUAUAAAAUAUAUAGUAUUUUUGAAAUCGAACUCAGCUAGCGCAUCAAGCAUUUUUCUACCUCGUCUUACAUAGGUUUUUUUUUGCGUUCCAUUAGAUUGACUUUGUAUCUUGUAAAGUUCAUAUAUCGUUUAGCGUGAGCACUUUGGUAUUGUUAACGUAAUUUGUUAUUAUUUUUAUGGUGUUUUUUUUUUAAUUGGGUACGGACAUACGACAUUACCGUAUUACGUGUUUCUUAUUGUAUUUUGAUGUUACAUUUGUAUUUCGUAAUUGUUCUAAUUACUGGUAGGGAGAUACUGUGGCGCCCUUGGCACCACAUAUGCCAUUGCCUUUUCUGUUUUCUAUCUUCUUCAGCUUUACGUUCUCUGAUUGUUUUCGCUUUCUAUAGGGUCUCGCCAGGGCCUGGUCAGUGUCAACGCUCAGGCCCUUGCGAACCUCUUCACUUUCUGUUUUAUGAUUCUCUUCCGCUGUACCUCUCCUUUUCCGAACUCUUCAACGGUUUUUCUGGAUUUUCCCACUUUCUAUAUUUUCUCUCUUUCUAAACUGUUUCUUUCCUCUUUUACUGAUGAGUUUUCGAGGAGAGGUUUUGACCAGCGACAUCAUCAGUCCGUCAGAGUCGCUCUAAUACAUUACAUCAUCUUCCCUGCUCGUACGCAUUUAAUAAACUUGUGUGGAACGCAACUUAGUCUCGAUUAUUGUAUUAACCUUUAUGCGAUUCCCACAGAACGUUUUUGA